rnacentral:rRNA from 1 species
UACGGGGGGGGCAAGCGUUGUUCGGAAUUACUGGGCGUAAAGGGCUCGUAGGUGGCCAACUAAGUCAGACGUGAAAUCCCUCGGCUUAACCGGGGAACUGCGUCUGAUACUGGAUGGCUUGAGUUUGGGAGAGGGACGCGGAAUUCCAGGUGUAGCGGUGAAAUGCGUAGAUAUCUGGAGGAACACCGGUGGCGAAGGCGGCUGCCUGGACCGGUUCUGGCGCUGAUGCGCGAAAGCGUGGGUAGCAAACAGG